rnacentral:misc_RNA from 1 species
UUGAUAAAGGGCUUUCAGGAGAGAAGUAAUAUGGACCUUGGUCUUCAUUUGAAGACGAAAACAAAUCACGGCUUGAAAGCCUGCUUGAGAUAAGUCCUGCUUCAGCCAAACCUUGAAUUGAUGAAAAAUCAGGGUCAUCUGCUGUGAUAUCAUCAAAUGCUAGUUCAGUAGCAUUCUCUAUAUACAUUGCAGGAUAUACUUUUGAAAGUGUGUUCCUUGAAAGAGCACUGCUUGCAGCCACCAACCAACGGGCAUACUCACGACGUGUACACA